rnacentral:rRNA from 1 species
UACGUAGGGGGCAAGCGUUGUCCGGAAUCAUUGGGCGUAAAGCGCGUGUAGGCGGCUCGGUAAGUCUGCUGUGAAAGUCCAGGGCUCAACCCUGGGAUGCCGGUGGAUACUGUCGAGCUCGAGUCCGGAAGAGGCGAGUGGAAUUCCUGGUGUAGCGGUGAAAUGCGUAGAUAUCAGGAGGAACACCGGCGGCGAAGGCGGCCCUCUGGAUCGUUGCUGACGCUGAGACGCGAAAGCGUGGGGAGCAAAAGGG